rnacentral:rRNA from 1 species
GCCAGUGACAAUAGCAUGUUGCAUGCAUCUUUCCCAAUAAAUCACUGAAGUUAAGCAAUGUUGUGCAUGGUUUGUAUCUGGAUAGAUGACUAUUGAGGACAUUGAAGUGCUGUUGGCU